rnacentral:lncRNA from 1 species
GCUUCUGUUUGUCCUUUAAAAUUAAUAGCUGUAUAGUUUUGAGUAAAUUAUGAAAUUCUUUCUCUAGAUAACUUGUCCCUGUACCUUUGUAUCUAUGUAUAUCAAGGCUUGCCUUCCACUUCUAUUACUGAUUGUGCAACUUGAUACAAGCUACUUCUUUUCCACAGUUCACUUUUGUUACCCCCAAAACGAAAACACUUCAUUGAAUUCUGAAGAAGAUCACGGAACUGGCAUGAACAGGCUUCGCCAUAUGUGCUUGGAACAUGAUUGUUGCUACAUAAGUGUGCUAAUAAGAGGAGUUCGCAGAAGACCAGAAUGCAAGACAACAGCACCAACAAAACAUACGGUGUCCUCCAGUCGGGUCACCUGGAUCUGUCCACAGUAAACGUGUCCAUAACCACAGCUAUGCACACUGGCCGAGGAUGCCUAUUUCUUCCUUUUGCCCCUUCUGGCCUCCAGAAGGUAGGAAGUAUUUU